GCAGGUAAACAUGUCGACUGGAGAAGGUGGAGUAGUUCUCACACCACUGUGCCAAGGCUUCCUGAAGAAAAGAAAAGACAAAAUGAGGCUGAGGUGGGUGACCUACUGGUUCAAACUUCACAACACAACCCUGUUCUUCUACACCAAGAAAAAUGGAUCUACUUUGGAUCUUAGAGGAAAGUAUUACCUGUUUGAGGUUGAAUCCGUGCAGGAGGUGAUGCGGACUGAGAACAAGCGCUACCUUUUUGAACUCACGAUGAAAAACGGGAAGAGGAAAGUUCUGGCUGCAGACACAGCAGAUCUCAGACAAGAGUGGAUUUGCCAGCUUCUGAAAGCCAUGAACCAUUCCAGCCUUCACACCACUCAGCUGACCUCUGACAGGUUUCGUGAGAGUUUUUCAGAUCAUGAACAGAGAGCUGAUUCCAACCCGUGCAGCAGCAGAAGCAGCUUCAGCUCAACCUCAGAGAGCAGCAGUUUCAGAAGGCCUAACUCCAACAUGUCUGACUAUCUGUGGUCCAGCAGCACCAGCUCUCAGACUGCUUCCCAUCACACUCCCCAGCGCUUUUCCACUUCUCAGGAUAUGACCAGCCUCGGGAUCAGUCAGCAUCCAGAGGAUGAAGUGGAGCAUAAGAUGGAGGAGAUUAAACUGGAGAGUGAUUAUGACGUCCUGCCUGCUCCAAAAUCACUGAAUUAUGAAGAAGCCAUUUAUGAUACGCCUCCAUCCAACCGGCGAGCCAGCGGCAGAAAUCACGAAAUGACUGAAAGCAUCUAUGAUGUCCCGAAGUCCAUAUUUAUGAGAGCAGAUGGUGAUGAGAGGCCUGCCAGUGGAGGGCUGCUUAUAGAUAUGAUGGCCUGUCUUGGGGAGAGACUCAGUGAUCUGGGGCAGAGCAGCUAGCUGCACCAAGAGUCAGCUGUUAACUCUAGAGCAUCAUCUGGACAUAUCCGGUUACAAUACUAACCAGCAAGACUUUGUUUGUGAAUAUUAUUUUUCUUUACAGUAUUAUUUGUAACAUUUUAUAAUAAGGAUCACAAAUAACAGAACCUACAACAGUAAUAAACAUUGUUAAAUGGUUACUCA
rnacentral:lncRNA from 1 species